AACGAACGCUGGCGGCAUGCCUAACACAUGCAAGUCGAACGAGACCUUCGGGUCUAGUGGCGCACGGGUGCGUAACGCGUGGGAACCUGCCCUUAGGUUCGGAAUAACUCCCCGAAAGGGGUGCUAAUACCGGAUAAUGUCUUCGGACCAAGGAUUUAUCGCCUUUGGAUGGGCCCGCGUUGGAUUAGCUAGUUGGUAGGGUAAAAGCCUACCAAGGCGACGAUCCAUAGCUGGUCUGAGAGGAUGAUCAGCCACACUGGGACUGAGACACGGCCCAGACUCCUACGGGAGGCAGCAGUGGGGAAUAUUGGACAAUGGGCGAAAGCCUGAUCCAGCAAUGCCGCGUGAGUGAUGAAGGCCUUAGGGUUGUAAAGCCCUUUUACCCGGGAUGAUAAUGACAGUACCGGGAGAAUAAGCUCCGGCUAACUCCGUG
rnacentral:rRNA from 1 species